rnacentral:rRNA from 1 species
AUUCUAUACCCCAUUAUUUGCCCGACCCCUGUCUGCUCAGUUUUAGGUUGGGGUGACCACGGAGUAUAAAAUAACCUCCAUGAAGAAGGGGAUAUUUCCCUUAUUAGAGAACCACACUUCCAAGAACUAAUAAAUUAAUUUUCAAUGACCCGAUACCCGAUAAUCGAUCAACGAACCAAGUUACCCUGGGGAUAACAGCGCAAUCCACCCUGAAAGCCCUUAUUAACAGGUGGGUUUACGACCUCGAUGUUGGAUCAGGGUAUCCCAGUGGUGCAGCAGCUACUGAGGGUUCGUUUGUUCAACGAUUA